UACGUAGGGUGCAAGCGUUAAUCGGAAUUACUGGGCGUAAAGCGUGCGCAGGCGGUUUUGUAAGUCUGUCGUGAAAGCCCCCGGGCUCAACCUGGGAAUUGCGAUGGAGACUGCAAGGCUUGAAUCUGGCAGAGGGGGGUAGAAUUCCACGUGUAGCAGUGAAAUGCGUAGAGAUGUGGAGGAACACCGGUGGCGAAGGCGGCACCUGGACCGGCAUUGACGCUCAGGCACGAAAGCGUGGGGAGCAAACAGG
rnacentral:rRNA from 1 species